rnacentral:rRNA from 1 species
AUUGAACGCUGGCGGCAGGCCUAACACAUGCAAGUCGAGCGAGCGGCGGACGGGUGAGUAAUGUCUGGGAAACUGCCUGAUGGAGGGGGAUAACUACUGGAAACGGUAGCUAAUACCGCAUACCAUCAGAUGUGCCCAGAUGGGAUUAGCUAGUAGGUGGGGUAACGGCUCACCUAGGCGACGAUCCCUAGCUGGUCCGAGAGGAUGACCAGCCACAUAGGAACGGAGACACGGUCCAGGCUCGUACGGGAGGCAGCAGUGAGGAAUAUUGCACACUGGGCGCAAGCCUGAGGCAGCCAUGCCGCGUGUAUGAGGAAGGCCUUCGGGAUGUAGAGUACUUUAAGCGGGGAGGCGUUACCCGCAGAAGAAGCACCGGCUAACUCCGUGCCAGCAGCCGCGGUAAUUC